rnacentral:rRNA from 1 species
CGCUACCUGCAGUCGAGCGGCAGCGGGAAGUAGCUUGCUACUUUGCCGGCGAGCGGCGGACGGGUGAGUAAUGUCUGGGAAACUGCCUGAUGGAGGGGGAUAACUACUGGAAACGGUAGCUAAUACCGCAUAACGUCGCAAGACCAAAGAGGGGGACCUUCGGGCCUCUUGCCAUCAGAUGUGCCCAGAUGGGAUUAGCUAGUAGGUGGGGUAAUGGCUCACCUAGGCGACGAUCCCUAGCUGGUCUGAGAGGAUGACCAGCCACACUGGAACUGAGACACGGUCCAGACUCCUACGGGAGGCAGCAGUGGGGAAUAUUGCACAAUGGGCGCAAGCCUGAUGCAGCCAUGCCGCGUGUAUGAAGAAGGCCUUCGGGUUGUAAAGUACUUUCAGCGGGGAGGAAGGUGUUGAGGUUAAUAACCUCAGCAAUUGACGUUACCCGCAGAAGAAGCACCGGCUAACUCCGUGCCAGCAGCCGCGGUAAUACGGAGGGUGCAAGCGUUAAUCGGAAUUACUGGGCGUAAAGCGCACGCAGGCGGUCUGUCAAGUCGGAUGUGAAAUCCCCGGGCUCAACCUGGGAACUGCAUUCGAAACUGGCAGGCUAGAGUCUUGUAGAGGGGGGUAGAAUUCCAGGUGUAGCGGUGAAAUGCGUAGAGAUCUGGAGGAAUACCGGUGGCGAAGGCGGCCCCCUGGACAAAGACUGACGCUCAGGUGCGAAAGCGUGGGGACAAACAGGAUUAGAUACCCUGGUAGUCCACCCCGUAAACGAUGUCGACUUGGAGGUUGUGCCCCUUGAGGCGUGGCUUCCGGGAGCUAACGCGUUAAGUCGACGGCCCUGGGGAAGUACCGCC